UACGUAGGUGGCAAGCGUUGUCCGGAUUUACUGGGCGUAAAGCGCACGCAGGUGGCUGAGUCAGUCGAUUGUGAAAGCCCUGGGCUUAACCUGGGAAUUGCAGUCGAUACUACUCAGCUCGAGUAUGGGAGAGGGCAGUGGAAUUCCCGGUGUAGCGGUGAAAUGCGUAGAUAUCGGGAGGAACAUCAGUGGCGAAGGCGGCUGCCUGGCCCAAUACUGACACUCAGGUGCGACAGCGUGGGGAGCAAACAGG
rnacentral:rRNA from 1 species